UUGGGCGUAGAGCUCGUAGGCGGUUUGUCGCGUCUGCCGUGAAAGUCCGGGGCUCAACUCCGGAUCUGCGGUGGGUACGGGCAGACUAGAGUGAUGUAGGGGAGACUGGAAUUCCUGGUGUAGCGGUGAAAUGCGCAGAUAUCAGGAGGAACACCGAUGGCGAAGGCAGGUCUCUGGGCAUUAACUGACGCUGAGGAGCGAAAGCAUGGGGAGCGAACAGGAUUAGAUACCCUGGUAGUCCAUGCCGUAAACGUUGGGCACUAGGUGUGGGGGACAUUCCACGUUUUCCGCGCCGUAGCUAACGCAUUAAGUGCCCCGCCUGGGGAGUACGGCCGCAAGGCUAAAACUCAAAGGAAUUGACGGGGGCCCGCACAAGCGGCGGAGCAUGCGGAUUAAUUCGAUGCAACGCGAAGAACCUUACCAAGGCUUGACAUGAACCGGUAAUACCUGGAGACAGGUGCCCCGCUUGCGGUCGGUUUACAGGUGGUGCAUGGUUGUCGUCAGCUCGUGUCGUGAGAUGUUGGGUUAAGUCCCGCAACGAGCGCAACCCUCGUUCUAUGUUGCCAGCACGUGAUGGUGGGGACUCAUAGGAGACUGCCGGGGUCAACUCGGAGGAAGGUGGGGACGACGUCAAAUCAUCAUGCCCCUUAUGUCUUGGGCUUCACGCAUGCUACAAUGGCCGGUACAAAGGGUUGCGAUACUGUGAGGUGGAGCUAAUCCCAAAAAGCCGGUCUCAGUUCGGAUUGGGGUCUGCAACUCGACCCCAUGAAGUCGGAGUCGCUAGUAAUCGCAGAUCAGCAACGCUGCGGUGAAUACGUUCCCGGGCCUUGUACACACCGCCCGUCAAGUCACGAAAGUUGGUAACACCCGAAGCCGGUGGCUAACCCCUUGUGGGAGGGAGCUGUCGAAGUGGGACUGGCGAUUGGGACGAA
rnacentral:rRNA from 1 species